rnacentral:rRNA from 1 species
GACGAACGCUGGCGGCGUGCUUAACACAUGCAAGUCGAACGGUAAGGCCCUUCGGGGUACACGAGUGGCGAACGGGUGAGUAACACGUGGGUGAUCUGCCCUGCACUUCGGGAUAAGCCUGGGAAACUGGGUCUAAUACCGGAUAGGACCACUGCCUGCAUGGGUGGUGGUGGAAAGCUUUUGCGGUGUGGGAUGGGCCCGCGGCCUAUCAGCUUGUUGGUGGGGGGAUGGCCUACCAAGGCGACGACGGGUAGCCGGCCUGAGAGGGUGACCGGCCACACUGGGACUGAGAUACGGCCCAGACUCCUACGGGAGGCAGCAGUGGGGAAUAUUGCACAAUGGGCGCAAGCUUGAUGCAGCGACGCCGCGUGAGGGAUGACGGCCUUCGGGUUGUAAACCUCUUUCAGCACCGACGAAGCGCAAGUGACGGUAGGUGCAGAAGAAGGACCGGCCAACUACGUGCCAGCAGCCGCCGUAA